rnacentral:rRNA from 1 species
AUACGGUGGGGGCGAGCGUUGUCCGGAAUGAUUGGGCGUAAAGGGCGCGUAGGCGGCGCGGUAAGUCUGGAGUGAAAGUCCUGCUUUCAAGGUGGGAAUUGCUUUGGAUACUGCCGCGCUUGAGUGCAGGAGAGGUUAUCGGAAUUCCCGGUGUAGCGGUGAAAUGCGUAGAGAUCGGGAGGAACACCAGUGGCGAAGGCGGGUAACUGGACUGCAACUGACGCUGAGGCGCGAAAGUGUGGGGAGCAAACAGGAUUAGAUACCCUGGUAGUCCACACUGUAAACGAUGAAUGCUAGGUGUAAGAGGUAUCGACCCCUUUUGUGCCGGAGUUAACACAAUAAGCAUUCCGCCUGGGGAGUACGGCCGCAAGGUUGAAACUCAAAUGAAUUGGCGGGG